rnacentral:rRNA from 1 species
AUGAACGCUGGCGGCGUGCCUAAUACAUGCAAGUCGAGCGAACAGACGAGGAGCUUGCUCCUCUGACGUUAGCGGCGGACGGGUGAGUAACACGUGGAUAACCUACCUAUAAGACUGGGAUAACUUCGGGAAACCGGAGCUAAUACCGGAUAAUAUAUUGAACCGCAUGGUUCAAUUGUGAAAGACGGUUUUGCUGUCACUUAUAGAUGGAUCCGCGCCGCAUUAGCUAGUUGGUAAGGUAACGGCUUACCAAGGCAACGAUGCGUAGCCGACCUGAGAGGGUGAUCGGCCACACUGGAACUGAGACACGGUCCAGACUCCUACGGGAGGCAGCAGUAGGGAAUCUUCCGCAAUGGGCGAAAGCCUGACGGAGCAACGCCGCGUGAGUGAUGAAGGUCUUCGGAUCGUAAAACUCUGUUAUUAGGGAAGAACAAAUGUGUAAGUAACUAUGCACGUCUUGACGGUACCUAAUCAGAAAGCCACGGCUAACUACGUG